rnacentral:rRNA from 1 species
UACGAAGGGGGCUAGCGUUGCUCGGAAUCACUGGGCGUAAAGCGCACGUAGGCGGCUUUUUAAGUCAAGGGUGAAAUCCUGGAGCUCAACUCCAGAACUGCCUUUGAUACUGAGAAGCUUGAGUCCGGGAGAGGUGAGUGGAACUGCGAGUGUAGAGGUGAAAUUCGUAGAUAUUCGCAAGAACACCAGUGGCGAAGGCGGCUCACUGGCCCGGUACUGACGCUGAGGUGCGAAAGCGUGGGGAGCAAACAGG